GGCAGUGUAGCUCAAAGUAGAGCAGCUGAUUUGUAAUCAGCAGGUUAGCGGUUCAAGUCCGUUCAUUGCCUCCA
rnacentral:tRNA from 1 species